GACGAACGCUGGCGGCGUGCCUAAUACAUGCAAGUAGAACGCUGAAGAGAGGAGCUUGCUCUUCUUGGAUGAGUUGCGAACGGGUGAGUAACGCGUAGGUAACCUGCCUUGUAGCGGGGGAUAACUAUUGGAAACGAUAGCUAAUACCGCAUAACAAUUGAUGCCACAUGUCAUUUAUUUGAAAGGGGCAAUUGCUCCACUACAAGAUGGACCUCCGUUGUCUUAGCUAGUAGGUGAGGUAAUGGCCCUCCUAGGCGACGAUACAUUGCCGGACUUGGAGGGUGAUUGGCCACAAUGGGACUGUGACACGGCCCAGACGCCUUAGGGAGGCAGCAGGAGGGGAUCUUCGGCAAUGGGGGCAAACCUGACCGAGCAACGCCGCGUGAGUGAAGAAGGUUUUCGGAUCGGAAAGAUCCGGUGUAAGGCAAGAAAGGGUGUGAGAGUGGAAAGUUCACACUGUGACGGUAGCUUAGCAGAAAGGGACGGCUAACUACGUG
rnacentral:rRNA from 1 species